rnacentral:rRNA from 1 species
AACGAACGCUGGCGGCAUGCCUAACACAUGCAAGUCGAACGAGGCCUUCGGGUCUAGUGGCGCACGGGUGCGUAACGCGUGGGAACCUGCCCUUAGGUUCGGAAUAACUCCCCGAAAGGGGUGCUAAUACCGGAUAAUGUCUUCGGACCAAAGAUUUAUCGCCUUUGGAUGGGCCCGCGUUGGAUUAGCUAGUUGGUAGGGUAAAAGCCUACCAAGGCGACGAUCCAUAGCUGGUCUGAGAGGAUGAUCAGCCACACUGGGACUGAGACACGGCCCAGACUCCUACGGGAGGCAGCAGUGGGGAAUAUUGGACAAUGGGCGAAAGCCUGAUCCAGCAAUGCCGCGUGAGUGAUGAAGGCCUUAGGGUUGUAAAGCUCCUUUACCCGGGAUGAUAAUGACAGUACCGGGAGAAUAAGCUCCGGCUAACUCCGUG